AGUUCGCGGGGGGCUCCCAGCAGCGCUAGAGUCCCUGGAGCUGAUCAUUGUUGUUCUUGGGCCGCCCCUGAUUUUUCAUCCCUUUUGUUUCCUCUUCCCAGCUACAUCCGCUACUCCCAGAUCUGUGCCAAGGCUGUCAGGGCAGCGUUGAAGCCACAAUACAAAGCUGAGGCAGAGAGAGUUGCUGUGGCCACUGUAAAAAUAGUAAAACCUAAAAAGGAGUAAGAUGAUUGGCCUGUAUGGACAAAAUAUCAAGUGAAGACUAGGUCAUGGGUCUGCAGGUGUGCAAUAGUCUCUUCAUGUUAGCUGUAAAAUCUGUCUGGAUGUGUAAAUCAACAUGCUAAUAAACAGCUUCUGGUUCACCAUGG